rnacentral:rRNA from 1 species
UGCGAGCGGAGGGCGCGGUCGCAAGAUCGUGGCCCCGCACACGGCUCAGUAACACGUAGUCAACCUACCCUUGGGACGGGGACAACGCCGGGAAACUGGCGAUAAUCCCCGAUAGGUGAGGGAUGCUGGGAUGCUUCUUCGCUCAAAGCUCCGGCGCCCGAGGAUGGGACUGCGGCCUAUCAGGCUGUUGGUGGUGUGACGGACCACCAAACCUACGACGGGUACGGGCGAUGGGAGUCGGAGCCUGGAGAUGGGGACUGAGACAAGGCCCCAGGCCCUACGGGGCGCAGCAGGCGCGAAAACUCCGCAAUGCGCGCAAGCGUGACGGGGGGAUCCCAAGUGCCGUUGGUCUUUUGAUCGACGGCUUUUAGGAAGUCCAAGAAGCUUCCAGAAUAAGGGCUGGGUAAGACUGGUGCCAGCCGCCGCGGUAACACCAGCAGCCCAAGUGGUGACCACGAUUAUUGGGCCUAAAGCGCUCGUAGCCGGGUCAGCAAGUCCCUUGUGAAAUCGGGCCGCCUAACGGUUCGGCGUGCAAGGGGUACUGUUGGUCUUGAGGCCGGGAGAGGUCGGAGGUACUCCUGGGGUAGCGGUGAAAUGCUCUAAUCCUGGGGGGACCACCAGUGGCGAAGGCGUCCGACCAGAACGGACCUGACGGUGAGGGGCGAAGGCUAGGGGAGCGAACGGGAUUAGAUACCCCGGUAGUCCUAGCUGUAAAGCAUGCGGGCCAGGUGUCUAGUGCUCCUCGAGGGCACUAGGUGCCGGAGGGAAGCCGUUAAGCCCGCCGCCUGGGAAGUACGGCCGCAAGGCUGAA